rnacentral:pre_miRNA from 1 species
AGUGGAACUGCUAGGUCAUAUGGCAAUUCUAUAGUUAAAGGAAUUGACAAAGUGUUUUCCACAGUGGCUGUGCACCAUUUGAUAUUACUAAUAGCAAA